rnacentral:rRNA from 1 species
AAUGAACGCUGGCGGCGCGCCUAAUACAUGCAAGUCGAGCGAGAAGACGUAGCAAUACGUUUGUAAAGCGGCGAACGGGUGAGGAAUACAUGGGUAACCUACCCUCGAGUGGGGAAGUAACUAGCCGAAGGUUAGCUAAUACCGCGUACGCUUCUUGGACUUCGGUUUCAGGGAGGGAAAGACGAUACCGUGGGUAGUCGCGCUCUUGGAUGGGCUCAUGUCCUAUCAGCUUGUUGGGAGGUAACGGCUCACCAAGGCUUCGACGGGUAGCUGGUCUGAGAGGACGAUCAGCCACACUGGCACUGCGACACGGGCCAGACUCCUACGGGAGGCAGCAGUAAGGAAUAUUGCGCAAUGGGCGAAAGCCUGACGCAGCGACGCCGCGUGGGGGAGUGAAGGUCUUC